rnacentral:rRNA from 1 species
AUUGAACGCUGGCGACAUGCCUUACACAUGCAAGUCGAACGGUAACGCGCCUUCGGGUGGCGCCGACUGGCGAAGGGGGGAGGAAGACUGCGGAACACGCCGGAACCUGGUGGAUAGCGAGGGGUAACGUAUGCUAAUAUAGCAUACGACCUCAGACGGCAUACGGGGGAAAGCAAGGGAUCGUGGGGCCGUGCGGGCCGAUGGCGGAUUAGGUAGGAGGUGGGAUAAAGGCUGACCAAGCCGACGAUCCGUAGCUGGUCUGAGAGGAUGAUCAGCCACACUGGAACUGAGACACGGCCCAGACUCCUACGGGAGGCAGCAGUGGGGAAUUUUGGACAAUGGGCGCAAGCCUGAUCCAGCCAUGCCGCGUGCGUGAAGAAGGCCUUCGGGUUGUAAACUGCUUUUGUUCGGAAAGAAAAGCCUUCUGUUAAUACAGGGCUGUCAUGACGGUACCGAAAGAAUAAGCACCGGCUAACUACGUG